GACAGAGGGGGCAAGCGUUGUCCGGAAUUACUGGGCGUACAGGGCACGCAGGUGGCUGCAUAGGUGGCGUGUGAAAGCCCCGCGCUUAACGCGGGGAGGCCACGCCAAACGGUGCGGCUCGAGCGAUGCAGAGGGUGGUGGAAUUGCCGGUGUAGUGGUGAAAUGCGUAGAGAUCGGCAGGAACACCCAGGGGGAAACCAGCCGACUGGGCAUCUGCUGACGCUGAGGUGCGAGAGCGUGGGGAGCGAACCGG
rnacentral:rRNA from 1 species